ensembl:lncRNA
AUGCGCUCCCAUGCCCGUUCCUCCUUCAACCCUCUUCCGUCUCCGUGCUUGUUUUCUCCUCCAGGGCGUUGCACUCCGUCCAUCAGGGAGCUGCGGGUUUCUGUGGGCCUGCGCCUCCUGUUGCCAUGUGUCCAGCUGUCUCCCAGGCCCUGUAGCUGGGAGCACCCUCCCCACAGACACACCAGGCAGCACCACUCCGACCUGGAGGUGACUGUCACAGAGGAAAACCUCGGAAAAUACGUCUGCACAUGCCAGGAGGCGGGACCAGGUAUCAGAGACCCCACUCCCUGCCGCAGAGCAGCCUAUCAGCUGACACUAGGAGGCCCCACAGCUGGAGGAACGGUGGCGACAGCAGGAGGUCGUCACGUCCUGGCCGUCUACAUCCUUUUCUUCUGCGGUGGUUUGUUGCUGGGCAUGUUUCUCCUCUACUUUGUGACCCGUCGGCGUAGCCUCAGUCGCCAGGGCCACCACCUGCCGGAUAAUUCGCUGUCAUCAGAGAAGGGGCGGGACUUGCUGGGCUCCUCGGCCACGCCGCAGUCUCCCAGCAGUGCAAGCCUGCUGUCUGAGGGAUUCAGAUUGACGGAAAAACGCAACGGGACGGCAACCUCAACCACGUCCACAACGCUCCUCAGCAGCCAGGGUAAUGGUGGUCACCAUGGCAACAGCUACAGCGGCACCCUGAUCCACAGCAACCCCAGCAACGGCCAUGGGAAUUCCCUGUAUUCCAACUGCAACACAAGUAGCAGCGGGCUGAAGUUCGCCUCCGAAAUAUUAGCUGCGGACAUGCUGGAUGGAAGGACGGGGGAGAUGGAGAGGGAGAGGGGGAGGUCCGAUGGGCUGGAGAGGGAGUCGGGGGUUGGGGACGAGGUGGAUGAGGGGCUGGGGGACGGGGUAGGGGAGGGGAUGAAAGGACUAGAGGAGGAGUUGGCCAGCUUUCCCAUGUUUAAGUCACCCGCACCGUUAGCUAAGUGUGAAGAAAGUUCGAUAUGAGGAGCCGAUAUGAACGUUCUGACGAUUACACCAUUUGGCAUCCUCCAAAAACUGAAUGCUACUAGGGGGUGGGGGGAUGCAAAAUGGCUACUGCCAAAUGCCUUUGGAUGGGAGCUGUGGCAGCAUGAAGAGAGACUCCAGAGAUAUAUGAGAAAUAUAUGAUGAGUUUAUGUCGAAGCGCUGAGAGAGAGAGAGACGAGGGGAAAAAAAAGACAGAAAACUUGUUCCAGUGUUGCCACUCAGGAUGAGAACCACAGCUAAAUAAAUGUUUCAGAUGUAAAUAUAAACUGUAAAUAGAAGCAGUCCGGAGUCGACUGUGGAUGUGAAGCUCAGCGUUAUAUCACGCUUUUUAAAUGUCGCAAAGAAUCAAAGAUGAAAUGUCUACGCGUGUGGACAUGGAAAAGCCAUAUUGUCUUUCUCCUUAACUCCUGUUGUUGUUGCAUUCUCUCCUCCUGAUGGCACUGCAAAAGAAAAAGUGCACUUUGAAUCUGUCAGCACCUCUCUGUCGCUCUGUUUCUGUUUCUCUCUUUGACACACCACUCAAAUCCCAGACCUUGAAGGGUCCAAAGGCACCAAAGGACUGCUGAGCCAUAGACUAACAAGUCAGACUGCACCGGUCCUGUCAGAGACUAAGGAACCAUGAAUUCACUGCGGAGCCUUCAGAUGGGCUACAGCGACCGUGACGGGGCUGUCCCCGCCUGCGCUGCCGCAGAGGUCAGGAGGAUGAUAGGGUUGGUUGUCACCUACCAGGCAUGCGUCAGUGUGGAGAGCUGGAGACGCACAGCAGGUGUGAGUCACUGACAGCUGCGGAUCCAUCAGUGUUCACGGGCAGACGGUUUUCAAAAGGAACUCAAAACUCAUUUCGGCCUCACAGAAUAGACUUUGUCGGACACAAAGCCACUAUCACCUUUGUUUUGUUUUGUGGAUUUCAACAUAAAAGUGUAUUGUUUUGUCAUGUUGUUUUUGUAAUAAAGCCUUUAAAAAAGGUGCUGUUAACCUGGUGUCAUUGGUUUAUGGAUGCGCGACAGUUCAAAGAAGUUGUUUCGUUUAUCUUCCCAGAAAUAGACCAUGCCCUACGUCAACUCUGCAAGGAUGUGAUAGAAAUUGGCUGUGGUUAUUACUGAUUUCUAACUAAAAUGGAAAGAGACUCCAUGUGUGUCUAUGUACGUAUGUACUUUGAGUUUCUUGGCAUUGAUUCAUCUGAUCAACUCCACAUGUGGUGAUUUGGCUAAUAGAAAGAAAAAGCUGGAUGUGGGAUUUACAAUUCAGAGAGAAAGGUGACUGGGUCCACUAUUGUGCAUAAAUGCAGAGCUUUUGAGGAAGCCAUCUAGGCUAGCUUACAGGCUAACCUCGCUAGUUGAAAACACCUACAUUAUCUAUUUUAAAACACUACAAAAUAUUUAACAAUAUAUACAAAGCAAACUGUUAAAAGAUAAUUAUUUUAACUAACUUAUGGUGAAGAAACACUUACACUACCAAAUGGCAUCCCGGGUAGGCCUAGAACUCGCCCUCGGCCGCUCGCUAAUGUUCAGUGAAGAGCAGAUGAGGAGAGUCUAGAGAUGUUGCACAGCAGCAAGUUCUUUAAAGUUUGCCAAUAUGUUUCGCUAAACUCAAACAUUUCAAACAUCAGGGAUGGAACUUUGAAAUGAAUGAGAAAUAGCCUGAGCCUAAAUAGCUAGCUGUUCUAAAUUCAGCUACAGGUUAGCUUAGCUUAAAGGGAUAGUUCGGGUUUUUUGAUAUGAAUCUGUAUGGCAUCCCUGUCAGCGGUGUCGUGCAUCAACACUGACUUACCCUCGACAGUGUCCUGUGCGCCGAGUUCUUGCCCGGUUUUGGUGCUGACGAAAGUAGUCCGGCAAGUUGUCUGGGGUCAUGAAAAUAAAGCCUUUUUCUUCUCAAACAAAAAAUGAAAACAAACAAACAAAUGUGUUCAAAAG